rnacentral:misc_RNA from 1 species
UUAAGUUGAAAGGCAAUAGUGAUUACUAAUAUAUGAGGUGUGUGUGUGCUCUUUAGAAUGCAUGUGUGGGGAUUGUUUCAUGUAGGAGCUAGGAGGCCUUGCUGGUAUAUCUCAGAUUUUCAACUAUUUAUUUAAUUUUAAUCUUUUUGUUACCGUAUAGAAAUUCAAAACCUGAACUCUCAUAUCAUCACAAGAGUGCCAUGGCCAUCAGACAAUACUAUGCCGUUUAAUUUUAUUUUUUUAUAUAUAUACAUCGUAUUAAACAUAUUAUUUUCAUAAAUAUUUAUAAUAGUCGUAUGAUUGCUAAUGAUAGCUUAUCAAUAGAAAAAGAAAUGAACAUAUCAUAUAUCCCUGUUAAUAAAAUAAAGUUGUUUGGAUAUUAG